rnacentral:rRNA from 1 species
UUUUUGAUUAAUAAUUUAAAGUCUAAUCUGCCCACUGAUAAUAAAUUAAAGGGCUGCAGUAUUUUGACUGUACAAAGGUAGCAUAAUCAUUAGUCUCUUAAUUGGUGACUUGUAUGAAGGAUUUGAUGAAAUAUAUACUGUCUCUUUUUAAUUUAUAAAAUUUAAUUUUUUAGUUAAAAAGCUAAAAUGUAUUUAAAAGACGAGAAGACCCUAUAGAGUUUUAUAUUUUUAUAAAUUAAAAUUUUUUAUAAGAUUUAAAAUUUUAAUUUAUAUGAAUAUUUUGUUGGGGUGAUAGAAAAAUUAAAAUAACUUUUUUUAUAAUUUUACAUUAAUAAAUGAAUAAAUGAUCCGUAAUUUACGAUUAUAAGAUAAAAUUACCUUAGGGAUAACAGCGUAAUUUUUUUUUUUAGUUCAAAUAAGAAAAAAAGUUUGCGACCUCGAUGUUGGAUUAAGAUAAAAUUUAAAUGCAAAAGUUUAAAAUUUUUGAUCUGUUCGAUCAUUAAAAUCUUACA